rnacentral:rRNA from 1 species
ACUGUCUCAACGAGAGACUCGGUGAAAUUUUAGUACCUGUGAAGAUGCAGGUUACCCGCGACAGGACGGAAAGACCCCAUGGAGCUUUACUGCAGUUUGAUAUUGAGUAUCUGUACCACAUGUACAGGAUAGGUAGGAGCCAUCGAGAACGGGACGCCAGUUUCGUUUGAGGCGUUGUUGGGAUACUACCCUUGUGUUAUGGCUACUCUAACCCGGAUAGGUGAUCCCUAUCGGAGACAGUGUCUGACGGGCAGUUUGACUGGGGCGGUCGCCUCCUAAAAGGUAACGGAGGCGCCCAAAGGUUCCCUCAGAAUGGUUGGAAAUCAUUCGCAGAGUGUAAAGGUAUAAGGGAGCUUGACUGCGAGAGCAACAACUCGAGCAGGGACGAAAGUCGGGCUUAGUGAUCCGGUGGUUCCGCAUGGAAGGGCCAUCGCUCA